GGCGUGCCUAAUACAUGCAAGUCGAGCGUUUGAUUCAAAAGCUUGCUUUUGGAUCGUUAGCGGCGGACGGGUGAGUAACACGUGGGCAACCUGCCCUGUAGACGGGGAUAACACCGAGAAAUCGGUGCUAAUACCGGAUAACACGGAAGACCGCAUGGUUUUUCGUUGAAAGGCGGCGCAAGCUGUCGCUACAGGAUGGGCCCGCGGCGCAUUAGCUAGUUGGUGAGGUAACGGCUCACCAAGGCGACGAUGCGUAGCCGACCUGAGAGGGUGAUCGGCCACACUGGGACUGAGACACGGCCCAGACUCCUACGGGAGGCAGCAGUAGGGAAUCUUCCGCAAUGGACGAAAGUCUGACGGAGCAACGCCGCGUGAGCGAAGAAGGCCUUCGGGUCGUAAAGCUCUGUUGUUAGGGAAGAACAAGUACCGCAGUCACUGGCGGUACCUUGACGGUACCUAACGAGAAAGCCACGGCUAACUACGUGCCAGCAGCCGCGGUAAUACGUAGGUGGCAAGCGUUGUCCGGAAUUAUUGGGCGUAAAGCGCGCGCAGGCGGUUCCUUAAGUCUGAUGUGAAAGCCCACGGCUCAACCGUGGAGGGUCAUUGGAAACUGGGGGACUUGAGUGCAGAAGAGGAGAGCGGAAUUCCACGUGUAGCGGUGAAAUGCGUAGAGAUGUGGAGGAACACCAGUGGCGAAGGCGGCUCUCUGGUCUGUAACUG
rnacentral:rRNA from 1 species